CACUUCCGGCAGCCGCCUAGCCCCCUCCUAAACGCUCUUUGCUAUAAUGCGCAAGCGCAAAACUCUAGGUGAUUGCUCAUUGGCUUGCCGAGUGGGUGGGAAAGAGCUAGCUGGCACUAACCUGAGACAGGGAGUAAGCAAGAGUGAGGACCUGGCCCUGUGGGUCGUGUGUGCGUCCGAGCUCGCUUGCAAUUCUUGUUCUGUUGAACGUUUUCAAUCGAUUCUUAUACCCCCGAGAACUUUUUCCAUGAACCAGUUUUCCUCCACUUCUUUCCUCUGGAUCAGCAUUAACUUUAGUUGUUGUUUCUCCAUUGCAAUAAACUGAGAGCUUCUCUAAAGCCGGGAUUCAGCGCUCUGACCAUAAUAGUUAGCACUUACUAAUAAAAUAAAUUCUUAUUGCUGUUUCCUCUUGAGUAAGCUUUAAUAAUUUGUGAAAAUAUCCAAAUUGUUUUAAUUUGUUCAUGUGAAUCUGUUAAUAUUUCGUUAUUGCCCUUUAAUGCCUAUAAAAAAAAUCCGACCCCUCUCAUUCCUUGAAUUCCUCAUCUGUGUCAUUUUUCCUGACCAAUCUGGGGAGAGGUUUAUCAGAUUUAGGAAUCACAAAGCGGUUCUCAGAUCUCAAACCCUCCUUUAGAAACAGGUCCUUGAUGUAAGAUGUCUCUUCUGUAAUACAGACAUUUGGUGGGACAGAGUCUCAAGGUUGCACAGGAUGACAUCGAACUUGAGAUUCUUCUGCCUCAGCCACUCAAGUCACUGGUAUUUCAAGCGUGUGCCACCAUGCCAGGCUUUGAUUCUGUUCUAGGCCAACACUUACAAAAAGAAUGUCACCAUUUGAGAGGUAGAGGUGGCAGUGAAGAAAAUGUGAAUAGAAAUGACAGCUAUAUUAAGAAGAAGCUCAAAAUUCAAGACCAAAAGAAGUUGUAUGUGAAUAAGGUUAAACCUCAAUAGGAGGUAGAAAAUUGUUAUCAAGGACAAGGAGUUCAUUUGAAAGAAUCUCUCCUCAAAAAGAAAAAAAAAGUGAAGAAAAAAAAGGCUGGAAGAAAAGUCAGUUCAUUAUACAGAAAGAUAAUUUUCCUAUGGAUUAGAAUUUAAUGCUUUAGUUUCUAAAUUUUUCAAUUUGUAUUCUGUCUAACUUUGUACCACACUCUUCUCUUACAAUUUUUUCUUAAGGAAGUUCCACUCAGAGAAGAAUUUUUCAGGGUAAUGCUAAGCAGAUGGCUUUUUCUAAUCUUCCCCAGAAAAAUGCAAAGUAGGAUUUGAAACUAACACUGCCACCUACAAGUGAGUACUUUGAAAAGAAAAAAGAUUGGAAUACCAGUCAUCUGGGUAGAUGUCCAAGCUGCCAGAAAUCUAAGAAUAGGGCUUUGGAGUGGGGCUUCUGGUUUACAGAAAAUAGAAAUAUGAUUAAAAUAAAAUAAGAAAAGUAAAAGAACUUCAAAGUCUUGGCAUCAUUCAAAAACAUAAAGUCUAUUUGCCUAUUUUUUUUUAUCUCUAUAUUAGCUAUAUUGUUCCAGUUAUUUCCUGGGUCCUUGGGCAAGAUAAUAUCUCUACAUUUUAGUUUCCUUAGCUACAUGGGGAUAAUAACAGCCCCUUCCUCUCUGCUGUGAUGAAUAAAUUCUUAGUAGCCUAAGAAUUUAACAAUAUUAUUAAUUCCAUUAAUACUUGCAUUAUAAUGUUAUUUUCAGGGAUUUAAUAUUAAGAAUGGCUGAAUUUUAAUUCAGAUACAUGUCUGUUUCAUUUUUUUCCCAUUACCAUGUUUACUACUAAUAACCACUACUAAUAACCAGGACUCCUUCUCUCCCACCACCAUUACAUCCUAAAAAGUGUUGUCAGUCCCUUUUUUUCCUAGGUGAAAUUGUGAAUAUGCAAAGGAUCAUAUGCUACUUUUAAGUAUUGCAGGAUGGAAAUCUCAGAAGCUUGAUCCCCCAGGAAAUAACUUGAUGUUUUUGGAAGCUGGAUAGAUAUAACUGAGGGAAAUGAGAGAGAAGAAUGCUGAGUAAAUAAACAUGUGCCAAUGUACAAAUCAGAUGGCUCCAUGCUGAUAAAUCAUCAUUAUUACUCUUCAGUCAACCUAAACCUCAUCCAGCACUUUACUCAGCAUCUGGGAAGUAGAUUUAUUUCUAAAUGAUAGAUAGAAAGUAUGAGUGAUGUAAAAAAGGUGCAUCACCCAUGCAAAUUGAGGUUAAAGUUGAACCUGAAAAUGAAAUCAGGAUAAAAAGAUUAAAAGAUAAAAAUAUUUUCAGCCAUCUGUAGAAUGAUGUCACUGGCAAAAAUUUUAAAUUAGUUAAU